UCACGGAGUUUCUCUCGGUUUGUGGGCUCAUCUAAAGCUGAUCAUCAGCAGGAGACGAGCCAUUUAGACUCAGCUCAGCCACUACAGAGGAAACAAUGACUUCAACCCAAAAGGACCAACAUGGAGCGAGAAGUCAGC